rnacentral:rRNA from 1 species
GUGUAGCCUACAAGCCGUGAAAGGACUAUGCCCGUAAGGGAAUGUCUAAUCGCGUGCCUUUUGCAUAAUGAGCCUGCGAGUUACUAUCAGCGGCAAGGUUAAGUCGUAAGACGAAGCCGUAGCGAAAGCGAGUCCGAAAUGGGCGUACAGUCGCUGGGAGUAGACCCGAAACCCGGUGAUCUACCCAUGUCCAGGAUGAAACGAGGGUAAAACCUCGUGGAGGUCCGAACUCACUACAGUUGAAAAUGUAGGGGAUGAGGUGUGGGUCGGAGUGAAAGGCUAAUCAAACCGGGAGAUAGCUGGUUCUCGCCGAAAGAUAUUUAGGUAUCGCCUCGGAAAACUCUGUCGAGGAGGUAGAGCACUGGAUGGGCUAGGGGUCUUACCAGAUUACCAAACCCAACCAAACUCCUAAUGCCUCGACAUUUACUCCGGGAGUCAGGCUGUGGGAGCUAAGUUCCAUGGCCAAAAAGGGAAAGAGCCCAGACCGCCAGCUAAGGUCCCUAAGUCGUUGCUAAGUGGUAAA